rnacentral:rRNA from 1 species
AGAGUUUGAUCMUGGCUCAGGAYGAACGCUGGCGGCGUGCUUAACACAUGCAAAGUCGAACGGGACAUGCGGGAUAGCUUGCUARCUGCAUSUUUAGUGGCGAACGGGUGAGUAACACGUGGGUAACCUACCUCGGGGAUGUGGGAUAACAGCUCGAAAGGGCUGCUAAUACCACGUAAGAUCCUUCGGUCUCCUGGCUGGAGGAUGAUAGGUGGCGCAAGCUGCCGACCUGGGAUGGACCCGCGCUCUAUUAGCUUGUUGGUGAGGUAACGGCUCACCAAGGCAACGAUGGAUAGCCGGACUGAGAGGUUGACCGGCCACACUGGGACUGAGACAAGGCCCAGUCCCCUACGGGAGGCGCAGGUGGGAAUAGUUUGCAAUGGGCGAAAGCCUGACAACGCGACGCCGCGUGAACGAUGAAGGCUCUUGGGUUGUAAAGUUCAUUAGACAGGAAAGAAUAAGUCAUGGGUAAAUAGCCAUGGCGAUGACGGUACCUGUUGAAAAGCCCCGGCUAACUACGUGCCAGCMGCCGCGGUAAUA